UACGGGGGGGGCAAGCGUUGUUCGGAAUUACUGGGCGUAAAGGGCUCGUAGGCGGCCAACUAAGUCAGACGUGAAAUCCCUCGGCUUAACCGGGGAACUGCAUCUGAUACUGGAUGGCUUGAGUUCGGGAGAGGGAUGUGGAAUUCCAGGUGUAGCGGUGAAAUGCGUAGAUAUCUGGAGGAACACCGGUGGCGAAGGCGGCAUCCUGGACCGGUAUUGACGCUGAGGCGCGAAAGCGUGGGAAGCAAACAGG
rnacentral:rRNA from 1 species